rnacentral:lncRNA from 1 species
AUAUAUUUAUACUCUAUCGCUUUAGGACAGAGGUGAUGCAGCAGCAUGCAACACAAAUUCUGACUGACUUUUUCUUUGAAACAGCAACAGUACCGGGUUAGACAUGUUUCAUUUCGGGUUCAGUGUGAUCACCUGAAGUCGCAGCCGACAAUCGCACCAUACAGCCGUACAGUGUGAGCACAGCAAUCGUGACUGCAGUCAAGUGAGCCGUCAUUUUCCAAAAGCCGCACCGAAGAUUUAAGGUGCGCGACUACGUCCGUGAGUUUUGACUUGACAUCGCAUCGAUUUAUUCAUACUGUGUGAGUUGGUAUUAAACACAAACAUCCUGUAGCGGGUGCUAUUUGCCUCAGGUCGGGAAAAAGGGGAGGGUAAGUCGACCCGCAUAUAUAGGGCUCCUUGUACGGGGGAACAAAGGUGUCGGGGUUUGGUUCCGCCCGGUGGAGUAAGGCAGGUGCACACCUUGCUCCACACUGGCGUGCAGGGAGGCCAUACAGGUAUGCGGGUUGGCUGUAGCCUACCUUUUUGUUUUAAAGUAUUUGACGGGUGGUUGAUUGACUUUGUUUUAUACAUUACAGAUGGAUGUUCAGGCAAAGAAGUAGACGGUAUUCACAAGUAGUUUGGUCACGCAGAUGCCAUGUAUUUUAAGGAUUAUUAAUUAUAUUGCAGAUCAGACUUGAUGGAUGAAUUUGUCAAAACAAAAUUAAAUGAAUGGCAGCUGGACACCCUGUUGGAUACAUUCAAAGAGCAGGAAGUGGAUGAGGAGAGUUUCCUUUUGCUGGAUGAUGCUGCCAUGCAGCAUCUUAUUCCAAAAAUUGGUCAACGUCUCAAAUUUCAAAAACAUCACAAGGAGCUUGGAGCAUGGUACACACCUGGCCGAAAACACAGACCUGCUACAGGUUUUUUGGAGGAGCGCUUGAGAAAUGUCAGAAAGCGUAUGAGGAGCCUGAUUCGCCCGCGCCAACAGGAACCACAAGAGGACCAUGCUGUCCUUACACCAGAUUCACUUUCAUCUCCCCAAAAUAUUCGAGAGAUGGUUGCCUGGCUGAAAGCUAACAAAUAUCCAGUCUCUGAAGUGGAGGCCAAGAUGAAGGAAACCUCCAUACACAGAAGCAAAUGGAUUAGAUGUAACGGCUCCAAAACCAUCAGUGAAAUCCUGAGGGAGUUUCCCAGGCUGACAGACAAUCCUGGCAUGAUAUCGCAAGACUUUCAGCAACUUCAUCCUGAGGCAGCAGGACAAAUGUUUGAGAAGUGGCCUGCAAUUGCAGACAAAAUCUUAAAAUAUGCCCAACGAGAGGGAAAAAUAAAUGUUGUGCCAGAUGAUGUCACACCUGGUGAGAGAGCUUUAAAGGCCUUACCAAACCUGCUUCCCCCAUCACUCUUCAAAAGAGGUGGAAAAAUUGUGAGACCCACGACAGCGGAGUCUCAAAGGGCAUUUGUUAACAUGCAGCCUGUUGGAACCAAUAUAGUGGAGUACCUGACAAAUGUGGAUAACACCUUUCCACACGUUCUGUCGCUGGGACAUGAGAGAGUGUCUCAAACAUUUCUGGUUGUGGAAGGCCAUGCCAUUGAGACUGACUCGCUGCUUGAAGCUGUGGACCUGUGCUUUAAGUCUUUUUAUGUUUUUGACACGAAUUACCCAAAGGAGUGCCAACCCACAUGGGAGUUUUUGCAGCACUGCAUUUAUGAAAUAAAUGGACAAGAAUCUUCAGCUGUCAAAUUUUUGAGGACAGCCAUUGCCCAUACCUAGAGUGUGGAUUAUCUCUGAAG